UGUUGAGAUUUCCCGAGUAAUA
rnacentral:snRNA from 1 species